rnacentral:rRNA from 1 species
UACGUAGGUGGCAAGCGUUGUCCGGAAUUAUUGGGCGUAAAGGGCUCGUAGGCGGUUUGUCGCGUCGGGAGUGAAAACACCGGGCUUAACUCGGUGCUUGCUUUCGAUACGGGCAGACUAGAGGUAUGCAGGGGAGAACGGAAUUCCUGGUGUAGCGGUGAAAUGCGCAGAUAUCAGGAGGAACACCGGUGGCGAAGGCGGUUCUCUGGGCAUUACCUGACGCUGAGGAGCGAAAGUGUGGGGAGCGAACAGG